UACGAGGGGGGCGAGCGUUGUUCGGAAUUAUUGGGCGUAAAGGGCGCGUAGGCGGUGCGGUAAGUCACCUGUGAAAUCUCCCGGCUCAACUGGGAGCCUGCAGGCGAAACUGCCGUGCUGGAGUGUGGGAUGGGUGCGUGGAAUUCCCGGUGUAGCAGUGAAAUGCGUAGAUAUCGGGAGGAACACCUGUGGCGAAAGCGGCGCACUGGACCACAACUGACGCUGAGGCGCGAAAGCUAGGGGAGCAAACAGG
rnacentral:rRNA from 1 species